GGGCGUGUAGCUCAGUGGUAGAGCGCACCCCUGAUAAGGGUGAGGUCGAAGGUUCGAUCCCUUCCACGCCCACAA
rnacentral:tRNA from 1 species